UUAAGACAUAAAAAUAUGCCGGAUAAUAAAAUCAACAGAUUAAAAUUCAAAGGAUAUGGCGGUGUUUUUAUAUAAUCAGGGGAACCUGUCUCUUAAAUCGAUACUCCACGAAAGUUCAACCUCUCUUUGAAUCUCAGCUUGUGUACUGCUGUCGUCAGUAAACCUAUAAAAGAAAGUUUACAACUAAUACCACCUAUUUAACGUCAAGUCAAAGUGCAGCACAUAAAGAGGUGAUCAUGGGUUACAAUCUUAAUAAAGACCACGAAUUAGUAUAAUAAAAAUACUAUGAAGGUGGACUUGAAAGUAAUAUUUACAAACCACAAAUAUAAAAAUUUCUAAAACAUGUACACAUCGCCCGUCACUCUCAUCUAAAGAC
rnacentral:rRNA from 1 species